rnacentral:rRNA from 1 species
UACGAAGGGAGCGAGCGUUGUUCGGAAUCACUGGGCUUAAAGCGUGCGUAGGUGGAUUGGUAAGUAAGGAGUGAAAUCCCAGGGCUUAACCCUGGAACUGCUCUUUAGACUGCCUGUCUGGAAUUCGGAAGAGGUUGGUGGAACUCCCAGUGUAGAGGUGAAAUUCGCAGAUAUUGGGAAGAACACCGGUGGCGAAGGCGGCGACCUGGUCCUUGACUGACGCUGAGGCGCGAAAGCGUGGGGAGCAAACAGG